UACAGAGGUGGCAAGCGUUGUUCGGAAUUACUGGGCGUAAAGGGCGCGUAGGCGGCCUUGUCAGUCAGACGUGAAAUCCCCAGGCUUAACCUGGGAACUGCGUCUGAUACUACAAGGCUUGAGUUCGGGAGAGGAAUGUGGAAUUCCAGGUGUAGCGGUGAAAUGCGUAGAUAUCUGGAGGAACACCGGUGGCGAAGGCGGCAUUCUGGACCGAAACUGACGCUGAGGCGCGAAAGCCAGGGGAGCAAACGGG
rnacentral:rRNA from 1 species